rnacentral:rRNA from 1 species
GCGGGAAGGCUCCUUCGGGAGUACACGAGCGGCGAACGGGUGAGUAACACGUGAGCAAUCUGCCCUUCACAUCGGAAUAACCAUUGGAAACGAUGGCUAAUACCGAAUACGACUUCGGACCGCAUGGUCUGAAGUGGAAAGCUCCGGCGGUGAAGGAUGAGCUCGCGGCCUAUCAGCUUGUUGGUGAGGUAAUAGCUCACCAAGGCGAUGACGGGUAGCCGGCCUGAGAGGGUGACCGGCCACACUGGGACUGAGACACGGCCCAGACUCCUACGGGAGGCAGCAGUGGGGAAUAUUGGACAAUGGGCGAAAGCCUGAUCCAGCAACGCCGCGUGAGGGAUGACGGCCUUCGGGUUGUAAACCUCUUUCAGCGGGGACGAAGCGAAAGUGACGGUACCCGCAGAAGAAGCACCGGCCAACUACGUGCCAGCAGCCGCGGUAAUACGUAGGGUGCAAGCGUUGUCCGGAAUUAUUGGGCGUAAAGGGCUCGUANGCGGUUUGUCACGUCCGGCGUGAAAACUCAGGGCUCAACCCUGAGCGUGCGUCCGAUACGGGCAGACUAGAGGUAUGCAGGGAGAACGGAAUUCCUGGUGUAGCGGUGGAAUGCGCAGAUAUCAGGACGAACACCGGUGGCGAAAGCGUCUCUGGGCAUUACCUGACGCUGAAGAGCGAAAGCAUGUGAGCGAACAGAUUAGAUACCCUGGUAGUCAUGCCGUAAACGCUCGGGCGCUAGUGUGCGACAUUCNUNGUCUGCGUGCCGNNGCUAACCGAUCUAAGCGCCUCCGCCUGGGAGUACNGCN